rnacentral:rRNA from 1 species
UACGUAGGGUGCAAGCGUUUGUCCGGAAUUAUUGGGCGUAAGGAGCUCGUAGGCGGUCUGUCGCGUCUGGUGUGAAAAUCCAGGGCUUAACCCUGGACCUGCAUCGGGUACGGGCAGACUAGAGUGCGGUAGGGGAGAUCGGAAUUCCGUGGUGUAGCGGUGAAAUGCGCAGAUAUCAGGAGGAACACCGGUGGCGAAGGCGGAUCUCUGGGCCGUAACUGACGCUGAGGAGCGAAAGCAUGGGGGAGCGAACAGG